rnacentral:lncRNA from 1 species
CAUUUGCUGUUUAAAAUUUUUUAUUAGAGCAAUCUAAAUUUUCUGGGUUUAAGUCCAUGGAGUAUGUUGUGCCAUGUUACCAAGGAGAGAGAGAAAGUUUCAAGGUUCAGAUGUUUUUAACCUAUCUAUAUUUACGAUCAUGCCAUUUUGCUUUAAUGAUGUAAAAAAAAAAAAAAGACUGCAAGAUGUGUAAAUAUAUCAGAAAACAGGCGUAUGGGGAAGCAGUAAAUACUAUUUUAAGCUAUUAAUUGUAUGCUAAAAGCUUCUAAAGCACAAGUGCAUAUUUUUAUACAGCUCUUUUCACAACUUUCUGUGAUCUACAUCAAGUCAGUCUUGAGAUUUUCCUUUCUCUUUUACCAGCCAACCCUUCUGUGUAUUAUAAAUAUUCGAGACUUAGUAAACCA